rnacentral:lncRNA from 1 species
UUUAAAACAUGUCCCAAAAGUCUUAACACUCCUCUAAUCCAGAGGUGGUAUCUGUGCUCCUGCCCCUGAAUCUGGGCCCAUCCUAGUGAAUAGAUUGUAACCUGCCCAAUGCAGCAAAAGUGAGACUAUGUAACUUCUGAGGCUAAAUUGGAAUGGCCGCACAGUCUCCACCUGGUUCUCUUGGGGUUGUCCUCUGGAGGAAGCCAGAUGUCACAUAAGAAGUCUGACUCUCUCAGAACUCCUUGCUGGAGAGGCCAUGACUACGGCCCAGUGGCACUCCCAGCUAACACCAGCAUCAGCUUCCAGCUGUGUGAUUGUGACAUCUUGACAUCCUGCCCAGUGAAGCCAUCAGGUGAUGGCAGCCUCAGCCAACAUGUGACUGCAACAUGGUGAGUGAUCCUGCUGAGAACUGCUCAGAAGAGCACAUCCUCUGUUCCUGACCCACAAAACCAUGAGUGAAAUAAAAGGGUUGUGCUAAGCUGCUAUGUUUUGAGAUAAUUUAUUAGGCAAAAGUGGUAUCUGGGGUAUAAUUUGGUACUGAAGGUGGAGUGGAAAGAAUGAACUAUGUCAGAUUGUAUUUUCCAAAGAUGGUCACAAUAUUCCCAUCUUGUGUUUUCUUUUACAAUGUGACCAUGCCUCUCCCUCAUCAAGAGGUGGAGUCUAGUUUCCCUCCCUUUGAAUCUGGGUAGCUUGUGACUGCUUCCACCAGCAAAGAAGGGUAGAAGUGACAUCAUGUGAUUUCCAAGGCUGAGUCACAAAAAGUGAUGUAGCUGGAGCUCUGAACUUUCAUGAGGCAGCCAUGCCAUGAGGAAGGUCACAUGUUGAGGGAGAAGAGAAGAGACCCAAGGACUCAGCCCCGGGCGUAGAGAUUUCAAGAGACCAGGGAGAUGGAGACAAACCAGCAAAGGAGACUGAGGUAGGAGGAAAACCAAGAGGUGGUGACCUGGAAGCCAAGCGGAGAAGGGUUUGUGCGUGUGUAUGCUGGUAGACCCUGAAUGGAUCCCUCCAAGCCAGACUGAUGGACAAGCCAGUGGCCUGAGGGAGGUGGCACAACCUGGGGCUGCAGGUGGAGACCGAAGAAGAUUCAUUGCAGUGUCUUGGCACAGGGACAACAGCAGGGUGCCUUCACAAGGAAGACCAGGGAGAAGAACUCAGCAGCCCUGGUCCUGAGCUCACAUUGACAGCUCUUCUGUGAGGGGCUGAGUCAUGUGGAGCUUGGCAUCCCCACUCUCUGGUAACCCAUCACUGUAUGACCUUGUGAAGUAGCCUCAGGCCAGAGUGGCCAGGGCAGCACUGGGAGUUCCUAAGAUGGAGACAGGGCAGCAGCAUUUCCCCAGCUGAUCUCCCCUGUGAACUGCUGGUCUAGAGGCACGUUAAGGGAUUGGUAUUCCAGGAAACACAUGCUGAUUCAUGCAGAUAUAAAACCAGAGGAGAUGGAAGGGACCUCUGAGGAUAUGUUGGUUCACUGGUUCUCAUCUGGGGGCAUUGGAAUCACCUGGGUACUUGAAAAUACAGAGCCUUGGGCCCCAUCCAGACCUACUGAAUUAGAAUCUCUGAUGACGGUGAGGGUCUGGCAUGCAUAUUAUUAUUACUUUUUUUUUUUUUUUGAGGAAGAUUAGCCCUGAGCUAACAUCUGCUGCCAAUCCUCCUCUUUUUGCUGAGAAAGACUGGCCCUGAGCUAACAUCUGUG